GAAUAUUGCACAAUGGGCGCAAGCCUGAUGCAGCGACGCCGCGUGGGCGAAGAAGGUUUUCGGAUCGUAAAGCCCUUUUCUGUGUGACGAGAAAGGACGGUAGCCCAGGACUCAGUGUCGGCUAACUACGUUCCAGCAGCCGCGGUAAAACGUAGGACGCAAGCGUUAUCCGGAUUUACUGGGCGUAAAGCGCGAGCAGGCGGUUUAGUAAGUUACCUAUGAAAGCUCCUGGCUAAACUGGGAGAGGUUAGGUGAUACUGUUAGACUAGAGUAAGGUAGAGGGAAGUAGAAUUCCGGGUGUAGUGGUGAAAUGCGUAGAUAUCCGGAGGAAUACCAGUGGCGAAGGCGGCUUCCUGGCCCUUAACUGACGCUGAGACGCGAAAGCGUGGGUAGCGAACGGG
rnacentral:rRNA from 1 species